rnacentral:rRNA from 1 species
CCUACGGGUGGCAGCAGUGAGGAAUAUUGGUCAAUGGGCGCGAGCCUGAACCAGCCAAGUAGCGUGAAGGAUGACUGCCCUACGGGUUGUAACCUUCUUUUAUAAAGGAAUAAAGUGAGGUACGUGUGCCUUUUUGUCUGUCCUUUAUGAAUCAGGAUCUGCUAACUCCGUGCCAGCAGCCGCGGUCAUACGGAGGAUCCGAGCGUUAUCCGGAUUUAUUGGGUUUAAAGGGAGCGUAGAUGGGUUGUUAAGUCAGUUGUGAAAGUUUGCUGCUCAACCGUAAAAUUGCAAUUGAUACUGGCAGUCUUGAGUACAGUUGAGGUAGGCGGAAUUCGUGGUGUAGCGGUGAAAUGCUUAGAUAUCACGAAGAACUCCGAUUGCGAAGGCAGCUUACUAAACUGCCACUGACAUUGAUGCUCGAAAGUGUGGGUAUCAAACAGGAUUAGAUACCCGAGUAGUC